rnacentral:rRNA from 1 species
UACGUAGGGGGCAAGCGUUAUCCGGAUUUACUGGGUGUAAAGGGAGCGUAGACGGUGAUGCAAGUCAGAAGUGAAAGCCCGGGGCUCAACUCCGGGACUGCUUUUGAAACUGUGUGACUGGAGUGCAGGAGAGGUAAGCGGAAUUCCUGGUGUAGCGGUGAAAUGCGUAGAUAUCAGGAGGAACACCGGCGGCGAAGGCGGCCUGCUGGACUGUAACUGACGCUGAUGCUCGAAAGUGUGGGUAUCAAACAGG